GUGUGUGUGUAUGUAACAAAAGCAGACUAGGCUACCAUUCUGCUUGAGAAUUAAGUGUUCUAUUUCAAUUCGUUGUCCCCAGACCCUGAAGUCUACUAUCCGUCACAGAGCCACAUAAUAUCUGGGCAUAGCAUAGCAAAAUAGAAAAUCUUCACUUUUCAGAAAGGGAAACUGAGGCCCAAGGAAAGACAAAGACCUGCCCAGGUGAUGGAACCUGCCUAUAUCAGAUUCUGAGUUUGAACCAUCGUCUUCAGCAACCAUUCCAACAUUCGUUAGGGAGAGGUGCUUGCCAACCUACCCAGGUGAAUCGCAUGUGGAGCUGUGUUGGACAACAUUGGACUAGGAGGAAUCAGAUAAGAGAGAAGAUGUGAAACCUUUGGAUCCCCCCAAACAACGAAGACAGAGUGAUACUGGCUGAGCAGGUACCUACUGAGGCUUCAGCUUUAGGAUCAGAACUUCAGAGCCCCAAGUGCCACCCCCCUUCCUUCUAGACUGGAAGCUCUGGUAUGAGAACUUGAAGGCUUAAGACUUUGACUCUAGUUUCAGGACAUGCCCUGUGGGAGGCAGGCCAUUGGUGCUGUAAUCAAGUAUUUGCUUCCUGGUAAGGAGGUAUUGGUCCAAUCUGAAGCCAACAUGUCCUGAGCAUCACUUCCCCCAACCCCACCCCUGCAGAGGAAGGAAUAAACUAGGGGCUGAAGGUGCAGUUGGAAAGUUCUAGUAACUGAGCAUCUAAAAAGACAGAACAGGCAUAUGUAAAGCCCCAUGAAAGGUAAAGGGAUGAGAAUCAGGGACCAGGAAAUAAAGCCCAGAUUAGAGCUGGUCAGGGCUGAUUCCAGAAAGCUAGAGGUGACUUCCCAGGCCCUACUUCAUGGGAAGACUUUCCCAGGCUAAGAGUGGGACCUGGUGCUUGAGAAAGAGUAAACAACAUGGCUCAGGGCUCUCCAGGAGGCCAGAGCUGUUGGAGAGAUCAGCGAUGUAGCUCCAUGAUAAUGCACUUGCUUUGCAUGUAUAAAGCCUUGGGUUUGAUCAACAGAACUGCCACCCCGCAAGAAAUAUUCUGCUAGAUAACUUAGUGCCCUCUCAUGGGGUUUUCCUUUUCUUCCUCCCCUUUUUAAAAUUUUAAUUAUCUGUAUUUAUUUAUUGGAUAGAGAGACUGCAAGAAAUCAAGAGGGAAGGGAGUAAUAAAGAGGGAGAGAGAUAGAGAGACACCGGCAACACUGCUUCACUACUCACAAAGCUUUCCCCUUGCAGGUGGGGACUGGGGGAUUGAGUCCUUAUGCAUUGUAACGUGUGCUUAAUCAGGUGCACCACCUUCUGCCCCUUCCCCAUUUUUCUUAAUUUGUAUUCCUCUCACUGUAAUCCCACUCUUAAAGAGAAAUGGAGAAAUGAACUUCAGUUCCACAUACAUCAGGCUUCCCCAGCCUACAGAGCUGUGAACUGAGAGAAAGCAGCAGAUUGGAGCCUCUGCCAUCCCUGACCACCCUCCUGAGACAUAAGGUAGUGCGACUCGAGACACCCAUCUGUGGGGAAGGAGCCUAUGGGCACUGGGCUUUUUAUUCCAGGGGGCUGAGAGCCAUGAUGUUCCAAUUCACAAUGUCGAGAGCAUUAAGUGGGGAGACAUCCUUUGACACUCUGUGAGCUCAACAUGUAGGAUGUGAGUUUAAGGAGCACUUGAGUAAUGCAAUGUCACACAGUGCCUUUUUAUAAUAGCAUCAGAGUCAGCAAGCCGCUGUGAUUCUGCCUAUCUCAGAAGAUGGAUGUAUUUUAGAUAUUUUAGAUGUACAUGCACUUAAAGCUGUUUAUGUUGUGUGUGGGAUUUUUGGCGUGUACAUUUGUUUGCUGCUGAAUAUCUGCACGAAAUACUGUGUUUCUGCGUCUUUGCCUGCACUAAGGAACAUUUAUAAAUUUGUGGGUUCAUGUGUAUCCCAAGAUUGGAUAGGACUAGGAUUGAAGCAUAGUUGUGCUCAACUCCAGUGUGAAGAAGAGAUUCUGGCAAUCAUAUUAACUCAACUCUUUCACUUUACUGGCAAGGAAACCAAAGUCCUAGAAGUUAAAGUGACUUGUUCAAGGUCAUACAGACGAUCAAAGAUGAGACUAGAAUCCAGGACUGGAAAUUCACAGUCUGGGAAUUCUUCUGUAAUGUUCAAAUCAAUUACAUACUGGAGGAAAGGCAGGGCAAUGUUUGAAGGUUUUUUUUUUUUUUUUUCUCUUCCUCUGAUCAAUAUACUACCAAGGUCAAUCCUGAAUUAGCUAGAUAACCCCAAAUGUUAAAUUCUUAACAAUGACCAGACCUAGAAUUGAUUCUAUCUCUGUAAAUCCCAGUUAUGCUGAGGCCAUUGGAGAAUUUCAGAACACAUAUGAAGGUUUUGCUAUAGGCCUUUGUUUCUGAAGAAAAGUAUCUAAUAUAUAUAAGCUUGCAUUUGAGUUAAACAAUAAAAACAUCUGUUGUUUCUA